GUUCCCAAGAUGGCGGCGUGGAGUUGCUGGUCCGCUGGAAAACAAUAGAAGCGGCGCUGAAGCAGCGAGUUAGCCGCGUUUCCACUCACCGCGCAGCCUCGUCCUCACCGCCCGCACACGGCCAGACUCUGGCCCGGACACGAGGAGGCUCAUCCGCGCCGGCGACCCGGGAGAAACACAGUUAAAGCAUGGUGCUUUAUUCAAAUGUUUCACGCUAGCCACCCCGCUAGCCGAGAUCGCUAGCCAUAACAUAGCGUUAGCAGCAGCUAGCGGCUAACGGCUAACGGAGGCGGAGGAUCAUCAGCUGUUCGACAGAUGCUUUAAGGAGAGCGGAGAGCAGCUACAGCUUCACGUGAGUGCCGCUGUGACUGAAGGCCAUUAGCAAGACAAAGGUGGCCUCCAUGGAGCCAGCACUGGAGUCUUUGUAAAGGGCGAGGGGGGUGUAUAGACACCCGCGCAGUGAAAAAGAGCCAGAUUCAGCAUUUUAUGGACGAAACCUGAGCCGGGGAGUUUUACUGCAAGUCUGUAUUGAUGAUGGCGGAUUUUGUUACACCGCGACACAGCGCGGUGAUGGAGAGGCUCCGCCGCAGGAUCGAGCUCUUCCGGCAGCACCACAACAGCUGCGAGAGUCGCUACGAGACGGCCACGCUGGAGCGGCUGGAGCUGGAGAGGCAGCAGACCUUCGCCCUGCACCAGCGCUGCCUGCAGGCCAAGGCCAAGCGCUCCAACAAGCACCGGCAGUCCCAGUCCAGCGGCGGCGACCAGGCCGCGCAGAGAGCGCCGGGCGGCGCCGGGGGAGGAGGCGGCGGCGGCGCAGAGAUGGUGGACGGCGGAGGGACGGGGGCGGAGCAGAGUCGGAACAGCACGCUGAUCGCGCUGCAGGAGACGGUGAAGAGGAAGCUGGAGAGCGCCGGGUCUCCGCUGGGCAGAGACCAGGUCAACGGCUUCACCGACGCCUUCCCCCCCAACAAGAAGGCGUGUCUGGACAACGGCACCGCCCACGGCUCCCCGCUCGACUCCAAGCUGGGCAUCGCCGACGCGCUCGGCUCUAACGGGACUCACAGGCUCAAGGCCGAGUCCACGGACGGAGGCGGCGAGGUGCCGGGUCUGGACUUCCAUCGGAAGGAGAUGAAGCAGGAGCCGGACGACAUCCUGCCCAUCGCGCCGCCGUCGGGAGGCGGGAACAACAACAACCUGUUCCCCGACUUCAACCUGAACGAGCAGGAGUGGACGGAGCUGAUGGAGGAGCUGAACUGCACCGUGGCCUACGAGGACAUCCAGGACAUCCUCAACGACGGCUUCGAGGACCGCAAAGACCCGCUGGAGCUGGCGCCCACGCCGGGCGGAGGUGGGGGGUCACUGGGAGGAGGAGGGUCCUCUCAGGGUCUACUUCCUCCCGACCUGUCCACGGUGAAGACGGAGUUCUCCCCGGCCUCGGUUGCUUUCGAGCAGGACUCUCGCACCGGGUCCCCCCACGUCAGGUCCACCUCGUCUGGACCGCCGCCUCCUCCUCACCCCAACAACUCCCCCGUCACCACCGCCUCCUCCGCCUCCUCUCCGGCUCUCCCACCGUCACAGCCGGCUCCUCCCCCACGGCAGCUUCAGCCUCCGCCCAACCACCACCUCCCUCCGGGGCCCCCGGGGCCCAAAGACCUGUCCCCGGCGCAGCAGCUGCAGCAGCUGGCGGCGCAGCAGCAGAGGGCGCAGCACCGCCACGGACAGAUGCAGCACAAACCGCCACAGCCGGGCACCAAGUUCCACACGCAGGGGCCACACCCCCACGCCCCACCCUGGCCCCAGAUGGCCAACACCUCGCAGAGCCCACUAGGGGGCGCGUUUGGUCUGGACAAGCCCACGAGUCCCUCCUUGUACCCGCAGGACUUUAACCCCGGCGCUCAGAAGCAGCAGCAACUGCUGAUGCCGGCUCCGCCCAACAAAGGCUCGCCAAAGGCGGCGCCCGGAGCCUACCUGCCGCCGCCCGGCGCCCACGCCAACAUGAUGGGACACGCCCCUUCAGGGCCGCCCCUCAACCACCCACCCACCCCCGGGGCCCAGGCCCCGCCCAACACACUGAACUACAACAACACCAAACCCUUGUCGCACUUUGAGGCGGGGCCAGGGCCGCCGAGGCCGCCGCCCAACACACAGAGUCAGAACAAGGCGGCGUUGCUGACGUUGCUGAGACAACAACAACAAAUCAAACAACAGAAGAACAACAACAACAACAUGAACUUCAGACAACACAUGACGCACACACAGGAGCAGAACAACUACCCGGCUCCUCCACACGGCCCGGGCGCCGCCAACACCAUGACGUCCGCGCCCGGAAACAACGGCAUGGUGGCCCCGCCGGGGGCCAACGCCAUGGCGGGUAACCACGGCAACGCGGCGUACCUGAGCAACCAGGCGGCGGUGGCAGCGGCGGUGCUGAAGCAGCAGCAGCAGCAGCAGCAGCAGCAGCAGCAGCAGCAGCAGUACCUGCAGAGGCAGCAGCUCAUGGCUGAACAGGAGAAGCAGCAGCAUCAGAGACGUCUGACCCGUCCUCCACCACAGUACCAGGACCAGCCGGGACAACCGGCCAAUCAGAACCCGUUCCCGCAGCAGCCAGUCAACCAGUUUACAGCAUCCUCUCAGCCAAUGGGCAGCCUCGGCUCCAUGGGAGGCCCCGCCCCUGGCUCCCAGCGUAUGUUCCCUCAGAACCAAGGCAUGAUGGGUAUGAACAUGAGUCAGGGCGGUGGGCCGGCAGGUGGCGUAGCUCCUCCCCCAGGGGCGAGUCAGCCCGACAUAAACCUGUCGUCCUGUGUUGGUGGAGGGGGCAGCGGAGGCGUGGACGUCCAGCAGGUUCUUUAUAACAACAUGAACCUUCACACUAACCACGCAGCGCCGCAGCAGCAGCAGCCGGGUCUGCAGCGCCAGCCUCUUGGCGCCAUGAGCGCCUCCUACAGGCAGAACUUGCUGGCUCAGCAGCAGCAGCAGCAGCACCUGAAGACGCAGCCGAACGCCGCCAUGCUCAAACAGCAGCAGCUCGCCGCUGCCGCUCGCAUGCCGGGAUCCAUGCAGAACAGCAUGGCCGCCAACAUGCCCGGUGCUCAGAGCGCCGCCUGGCAGCAGCAGCUCGCCAACCAGCCGCCGUCCAGUAACGCCGGCCUCCCGCCAAGCGCCUUCGCUAACACGCCCAACGCCUUCCACAUGCAGCAGCCGCGCAUUCCCAAGAUGCCGCAGGGCGGCGCACCCUUCGUCUCUAAUCCUGUAGGUCGUCCGAUGGUGGGCCUGAACCCCGGGCAGCAGAUGAUGCAGACCAACAUGGUGGCCGCCCAGCAGAGGGCGCCACCCAACCCGCAGAGCCUGGGGCAGCCGAUGACCAAUCAGCAGGCUCAGCAGCAGCAGGCCAACCAGAACCAGACCAUCCUGCUGGCCUCGUUCGGUCAGCCGCAGGGCAGCGGUCGCCAGGGACUGCAGUGUAACCAAGGUUACCAGGUGAGCAGGACGGCCGGUCAGCAGCAGCAGCAGGUGUCCUUCGGUUACAACAUGGCGUCCGGGAGCUUCGCCGCCGAGAGCGAGCUGGUGGACUCGCUGCUGAAGGGUCAGAGCACGCAGGAGUGGAUGGCCGACCUCGACGAGCUGCUCGCCAACCACCAUUAGUCUGACACGCCCCCUCUGCACCUGGAGCACCUGAACACUGCUGAGCUCAGAGGCGGAGCCGCCGCCUUCCGUCGCCAUGAAGAGACUGCUUCUGUGUUAGCAUUAGUCACCCAGCUAACGGGACGGGAGCAGCAGUCCAGCGGCGGUGUACGCUAGCGCGCAGGUGUCGGCUCACGGCCCCGAGCGUCUCAUAAACUCACGGUGGUCGUUUUCAAACUCCCUGAUUGGCUGAGGUGACGUCACGCUCUCAACGAGUCAGCGAGAAAAAACAAGAACAAAACGCGACAACCGCCACACGAGAGAAGACGAGGCGUUCAACGCCAAGGUCGCACAGUUGUCCCGCCGCCGCCCGAGACGCUAAAGUCCGGGGGGGGAAAAAAUCAUGGUCACAAAUGAAACCUGUGACGAGCAGAAACACCAGCGUCCGUUUAAAAAACGUUACACUUAUUUAACGUCGCAACACGACACGCGCACAUUCUGCUGACUCAUCAUGGCCGACCGCUAAAGAAGAAACAAAGUAAAGAAUGUUUCUUCUUCAGUUUCAGUAAAAACACUGACAUGGUCUGUUAUGAAGGAGGUCACGGUUACACAGACAGGAAGUACUGACAGAACGGACAGGAAGUACUGACAGGACAGGAAGUACUCAGAGACACGACUGACUUUUGUUUCUAAGUUGCAGGUUUUCAGAGUCGCGAUCAUUUCCUCUGGUUCGCGUGCGUUCAUAUGAAGUCGAGGUUUUUGCGUCAGUCCAGCGUUUGCGAACUCCUCACAUUCCGAUCCACACAGCGAACUGUCGCAACAUUUACGUGAAGCUGUGGAAAUGUGUCAUUAAAAGCUUUUAUUUUGAAAUGUUAAGCUCGUAUCUCUGAUGCUACGAGUCACAAACGCGACUGCUUGAUUUGGCGCCGACUAGUGUGACAGACGGGAACUUUGUUUUAACAAAGUAACAAUCUCCGACCUGUGACCGAUUUAGGGCGGACCUGUGACCGUGACUGAUUUAAGGCGGACCAGUGACCUUGUCUGAUUUAAGGCGGACCUGUGACCGUGUGUCUGUUUUACAGUAAACCUUUGACUGUGUCUGAUUUAAGGUGGACCUGUGACUGUGACUGAUUUAAGGCGGACCUGUGACCAUGUCUCGUCUGGUUUAAGGCAGAUUGUCUGAUUUAAGGCAGAUUGUCUGAUUUAAGGCGGACCUGUGACCAUGUCUGGUCUGGUUUAAGGCAGAUUGUCUGAUUUAAGGCGGACCUGUGACCAUGUCUGGUCUGGUUUAAGGCAGAUUGUCUGAUUUAAGGUGGACCUGUGAGCCGGUCGUUCUAUCUACUGUACUGUUAAGCGUCUCCAGACACACACACACACACACACACACACACCCAUGUGUCAUGUUAUAUAUUUCAUGUGUUCUAAUGUUAUUGAUCUGUACGUCGGAGCGGACACGUCACGUCUUCCUCGCCUCGCUCGCCCGCUCGGCCUCCUGUGUAAAUGUAUAAAUCUAUUUUUUGUAUGUAAACCUUUUUUCCUGAUGACGAGGAGAAGAUAGAAGUUAUUUUUAUAUAUUGCUGCGGAUGUUUUGUAAGUAUUUUAUACUUUUGAUAUGGUUCUCUGUAAAACAAGAGUAUUAUGUAAAUAUAGUUCUUUAGAAACAAA